rnacentral:rRNA from 1 species
UACGUAGGGGGCGAGCGUUGUCCGGAUUUAUUGGGCGUAAAGAGCGUGUAGGCGGCCAGGUAGGUCUGCUGUGAAAACUCGAGGCUCAACCUCGAGACGUCGGCGGAAACCAUCUGGCUAGGAGUCCGGAAGAGGAGAGUGGAAUUCCUGGUGUAGCGGUGGAAAUGCGCAGAUAUCAGGAAGAACACCCGUGGCGAAGGCGGCUACCUGGCCUAAUACUGACACUGAGGCACGAAAGCGUGGGGAGCAAACAGG